AUGGCUCAGGAUGAACGCUGGCGGCGUGCCUAACACAUGCAAGUCGAACGGACUUACACAGAAGCAGGAGAUGCUUGCAUUGACUAACGGAAGUGUAAGUUAGUGGCGGACGGGUGAGUAACGCGUGGGCAGCCUGCCCCAUACCGGGGGAUAACACCUGGAAACAGGUGCUAAAACCGCAUAAGCGCACAGCUUCGCAUGAAGGUGUGUGAAAAACUCCGGUGGUAUGGGAUGGGCCCGCGUCUGAUUAGCUGGUUGGCGGGGUAACGGCCCACCAAGGCGACGAUCAGUAGCCGGCCUGAGAGGGUGGACGGCCACAUUGGGACUGAGACACGGCCCAAACUCCUACGGGAGGCAGCAGUGGGGAAUAUUGGACAAUGGGGGAAACCCUGAUCCAGCGACGCCGCGUGAGUGAAGAAGUAUUUCGGUACGUAAAGCUCUAUCAGCAGGAAAGAAAAUGACGGUACCUGACUAAGAAGCCCCGGCUAACUACGUGCCAGCAGCCGCGGUAAUACGUAGGGGGCAAGCGUUAUCCGGAUUUACUGGGUGUAAAGGGAGCGUAGACGGCAGCGCAAGUCUGGAGUGAAAUGCCGGGGCCCAACCCCGGAACUGCUCUGGAAACUGUGAAGCUGGAGUGCAGGAGAGGUAAGCGGAAUUCCUGGUGUAGCGGUGAAAUGCGUAGAUAUCAGGAGGAACACCGGCGGCGAAGGCGGCUUACUGGACUGUAACUGACGUUGAGGCUCGAAGGCGUGGGGAGCAAACAGGAUUAGAUACCCUGGUAGUCCACGCGGUAAACGAUGAUUACCAGGUGUCGGGGGCAAUGUGCCCCCGGUGCCGGCGCAAACGCAAUAAGUAAUCCACCUGGGGAGUACGUUCGCAAGAAUGAAACUCAAAGGAAUUGACGGGGACCCGCACAAGCGGUGGAGCAUGUGGUUUAAUUCGACGCAACGCGAAGAACCUUACCCAGGCUUGACAUCCCAAUGAAUGCCCGGCAAUGCGGGCAGGCCCUUCGGGGACAUUGGAGACAGGUGGUGCAUGGUUGUCGUCAGCUCGUGUCGUGAGAUGUUGGGUUAAGUCCCGCAACGAGCGCAACCCUUACCCCCAGUAGCCAGCAGUAAGAUGGGAACUCUGGGGGGACUGCCGGGGACAACCCGGAGGAAGGUGGGGAUGACGUCAAAUCAUCAUGCCCCUUAUGCCUGGGGCGACACACGUGCUACAAUGGCGUAAACAGAGGGAAGCGAACCCGCGAGGGGGAGCAAAUCCGGGAAAUAACGCCCCAGUUCGGAUUGCAGGCUGCAACCCGCCUGCAUGAAGCCGGAAUCGCUAGUAAUCGCGGAUCAGAAUGCCGCGGUGAAUACGUUCCCGGGUCUUGUACACACCGCCCGUCACACCAUGGGAGCCGGGAAUGCCCGAAGCCGGCGGCCUAACCGAAAGGGGGGAGCCGUCGAAGGCAGGCCCGGUGACUGGGGUGAAGUCGUAACAAGGUA
rnacentral:rRNA from 1 species